GACGAACGCUGGCGGCGUGCUUAACACAUGCAAGUCGAACGCUGAAGCCUAGCUUGCUGGGUGGAUGAGUGGCGAACGGGUGAGUAACACGUGAGUAACCUGCCCUCUUCUUUGGGAUAACGCCCGGAAACGGGUGCUAAUACUGGAUAUUCGCUGAUUCUCGCAUGGGGGUUGGUGGAAAGGUUUUUUCUGGUGGGGGAUGGGCUCGCGGCCUAUCAGCUUGUUGGUGGGGUGAUGGCCUACCAAGGCUUUGACGGGUAGCCGGCCUGAGAGGGUGACCGGUCACAUUGGGACUGAGAUACGGCCCAGACUCCUACGGGAGGCAGCAGUGGGGAAUAUUGCACAAUGGGCGAAAGCCUGAUGCAGCGACGCCGCGUGAGGGAUGGAGGCCUUCGGGUUGUAAACCUCUUUCGCUCAUGGUCAAGCCGCAACUUAGGGUUGUGGUGAGGGUAGUGGGUAAAGAAGCGCCGGCUAACUACGUGCCAGCAGCCGCGGUAAUACGUAGGGCGCGAGCGUUGUCCGGAAUUAUUGGGCGUAAAGGGCUUGUAGGCGGUUGGUCGCGUCUGCCGUGAAAUCCUCUGGCUUAACUGGGGGCGUGCGGUGGGUACGGGCUGACUUGAGUGCGGUAGGGGAGACUGGAACUCCUGGUGUAGCGGUGGAAUGCGCAGAUAUCAGGAAGAACACCGGUGGCGAAGGCGGGUCUCUGGGCCGUUACUGACGCUGAGGAGCGAAAGCGUGGGGAGCGAACAGG
rnacentral:rRNA from 1 species